UUUUUUUCUUCUCUUUUUGAGAGAAGGUCAAUUUUGUCUUCUUUUUAUGAUUUCCUCUGAAAACCCAUUACAAACUCAGUGAAAACUAUUGCAAACAAUAGGGGUUUGUGUAUUUUAUGCAGAGUUAUGCUUUCCAAGCCUUUCACCUUCUAAAGAUGCUGUAUUGUUGGUUGGCCCUCCUUUCUCUGGACAAACAUCUCGUUUGGAUUCAUUACAACCCCGCUGUAUAAUUCUUCUGGUUCUCCCUGACUAGUCUUUCCUUCUCUGUGCUCUUAUCUUCUUGCUUCCAAUGCUGCUCUUGCUCAUUUAAGUCACAGACGUGUGUAUUCAUGAUCUCAGCUGAGGCAUUUGAAAUUCAUUUUCUCCAUUGCAGACUGCCCUCUGUGCUACUGAGCUAUGCAUCUAACUAUUUUGGAUCUGUUUUCUUCAUUGUCUAAUUUGAUUUUGAAGUUCGGUAUAUCCAAAAUCAGGUCACUGAUUGCUGAUCACCUAAGAGGGAAUGCUUUGGAGGCUCAAUUCAUUUCAACAGCAUCAAAUUUCCAGGAGUUGUUCAGGCUGUAGUAGUAAGAAUUUGGGUUGACCUUUCUUUCUUCAGCACCGCCCAUGUUCAGUCUGUAAGUGAUCCCUAACAAUACUGUUUACAUUUGUAUUUUGAAUCUUCCUACAGUGUACUUUUUUACUUUCCCAAACUGAACAUCAGUAUGUGGUUCAGAUGAUGUAUAUGUCUUUGUUUUUUCUGUACCUACCUGGAUUGCAUAUGACAUCUGAGAUGGCAUAGAAACGUAGUCUGCAUUUUUACUUAAAUCACUGCAGUUAUCCUCAGCCCAGUAUUUUUUCUAAACCUGUAUUUCCCUAUCAAAAUAUAAACUAUACUUUUUUUUAAUACUUUCCCUGGGAAUUCCCCAGUAGUUUUAUAGUGUUUGCAAGGUAAAACACAAUGCACUUUGGCAUUCCACAAGAUCACUACAUGAACUCUGUUUCUGCUGAAAGCCCAUCCAGUGCUAUUCUUUUCUCUCCCCACCUCUUCCCUCUUUCAUCCAUCAGGGAGUCAUUUGUUCAAUAUUGAAAAGAUCUCUUUUCCAUUUUGUGUGUGUGUGUGUGUGUGUGUGUAUGUUUAUAGGCUCUAUGGUGAAUUGUGAGUAUGUAAGGCAUACACCUGCGCUUCCCCAAGCAAAAGUCAGCAAGAUGCUCUAUAUUUUCCCUAUUAUUGACCAUUCUCUACUUUACUUUCUUGAAACAAAGUUUUUCAUGGAACUACAAGUGUGUCCUUUUUAGCUAGGCUAUCAGGACACAGAGAUCUCAUUAUCUGCUUUCUCCCUUUCUUGGUAGAAAGUGAGUUACAAGCAUGGACAUGGCCAGCUUCUCACAGGCAUGAAAGCAAUUCAGAUUCUAAUCAUCAUGCUUGCUGAGAAAAUGUCCAUGUCCACUAAGGCACUUCUCCAGCCCCCAGAAAUUUAUCUAACUAUCAAAACCAGAUAUGGUGAGCAACCAAGUUGAGACUCAUUCUGAUGCAAAUUCCUCACAGAGUUGACUCUAACAUAAAAAAGUUACAUGAUUCUGAAAUAAAAUAAUGGGACCAGCAUAGGCUAGAAAUUCAUUCAUGGGUAGAAAUAGGCAAGAAGAAAGAAGAAAUAUGGUUAAAAAUAUUAGCUUGCUUGGUCAGAUGUAGAAUCACUAAGGAGACAAUCCUAUAAAAAUAUCUGUGAGAGAUUAUUUCUAUUUUAGAUUUGUGUCUGUGUAUUCCUGUGAGAGAUUGGUUUGAUAGAAUAAUUGAGUUGAGAAUACUUUCUUUAUUAGUAAGUGGUACCAUUGUAACUUGGGUACUGGACUGCAUCAAAAGAAGACCAUGUAUACCUGGACUAUGUAUCUCUUACUGCUUCCUAACUAGGGAUGAUAGAUGAUUAGUUCUUUAAAGAUCCUGUUGCUAAAACCCUCCUGCUAUGGUAGUCCUUACUGUGGAAUUGUGAACCAAUAUAAACUAUCUCAUAAGUAGGUUUUUGUUAAGAUACUGUAUCAUAAAACAGAAAUUGAAUAACUAAUUAAAAGUAAUGGGUUUAAGCAAGUCUAAAACUGACAAGCAACACUAGAUUUCAAGCCUAAAGAAUAGUAUUCUUGGUGCCUGUCUUCUAGUCACAGAGGGAUAAAGGUUCAGUAUCUAACAUUUAUGUGAUUUUACACCAAAAAUAUUGCUACAUAUAGCCAGUGCUGUAGCACUCAUAGAUUCAAAUACCAUGCUCAUGACUUCUGCAACUUGAGUUGUAUGCCAAAGGGCAUACAAGUCUGAAGUCUUGGGGCUUUAUUUUUGAUAACUUUAUUGAUUUAUGGGUUAACAUGAUGUAUUAAACCCAUAAAAUCUAAUACUGCCUUCC
rnacentral:lncRNA from 1 species